rnacentral:rRNA from 1 species
CUUGGUCAUUUAGAGGNAGUAAAAGUCGUAACAAGGUUUCCGUAGGUGAACCUGCGGAAGGAUCAUUAUUGAAAUUAUAGGUGAGGGUUGUAGCUGGCCUCUCGGGGCAUGUGCACGCCCGAGCCCUUAAAUCCCACACACACCUGUGAACCUAUUGUAAGGGCCCGUAAAAAAGGCCUUUACGUCUUUAUCACCUACCCAAAGUCUCAUAGAAUGUAAACAUUAUGUCCUCGCCUUAAAAAAGCGUUGAUAAAAAAAAUUAUACAACUUUCAACAACGGAUCUCUUGGCUCUCGCAUCGAUGAAGAACGCAGCGAAAUGCGAUAAGUAAUGUGAAUUGCAGAUUUUCAGUGAAUCAUCGAAUCUUUGAACGCACCUUGCGCUCCUUGGUAUUCCGAGGAGCAUGCCUGUUUGAGUGUCAUUAAAUUCUCAAACUCUGAUUGAUUUGUUUCAAUCGGAGGUUUGGAUUUGGAGUGUGCCGGCGUCAAGUCGGCUCCUCUUGAAUGCAUCAGCGGAAUCCCAUUCAUUUCGGACGUCAGUGUGAUAAUCAUGUUGCGCUGUCUUUGCGAUCUUGAAAGCCCGCUCACAAUGGUCUUCGGACAAACCUCACAUAUCAUAUUUGACCUCAAAUCAGGUAGGACUACCCGCUGAACUUAAGCAUAUCAAUAAGCGGANGA